GGACAAGAGCAUGUGAAAAAAUCAUCUUAUAGCAUCAGAGAAAAGAAAAGACCUAAACCUGAUAGUGGAGCAAAUCCUGAGGAACAUCAUCUUGCACAUGAGUCUCCAGUCUAAACACAAGUUACCUCUAGAACUUAAAUCUUAUUGUGCAGGAAAGCUUGGAACAGAUCAUGAUGAUGAAGUAUAGCCAAAGACAACCCCAAGUAAAAUUUCAAAUAAGCUACUGUGCAGAGAUGAAGUUUGAGAGUCACCAUUGGACCUAAAUUCAGCAGCUUCUAGCAUUUGAUUGAUUGACAACAAUGAAUGUUUCCCAUAUGUGAUAUCACAUAGUUAAGCC
rnacentral:lncRNA from 1 species